rnacentral:lncRNA from 1 species
CCACCACUUCUACCACCAUCUUUCUGCCCAGAAUGCUUACCUGAGGAAGGUGGUGUCCAUUCAUGGUCAUUUCUCCAUCCUUUGUCCUUGGCCGAAGGUGGUGUCCAUUCACGAUCAUUUCUCCAUCCUUUGUCCUUGGCCGAAGGUGGUGUCCAUUCAAGAUCAUUUCUCCAUCCUUUGUCCUUGACCAAAGGUGGCGUCCAUUCACGAUCAUUUCUCCAUCCUUUGUCCUUGACCGAAGGUGGCGUCCAUUCACGAUCAUCUCUCCAGCCUUUGUCCUUG